rnacentral:rRNA from 1 species
GACAGAGGAUGCAAGCGUUAUUCGGAAUGAUUGGGCGUAAAGCGUCUGUAGGUGGCCUCUUAAGUCUGCUGUCAAAUCCCAGGGCUCAACUCUGGAUAGGCGGUGGAGACUACCAGGCUAGAGUACGGUAGGGGCAGAGGGAAUUUCCGGUGGAGCGGUGAAAUGCGUAGAGAUCGGAAAGAACACCAAUGGCGAAGGCACUCUGCUGGGCCGUCACUGACACUGAGAGACGAGAGCUAGGGGAGCGAAUGGG